rnacentral:rRNA from 1 species
GGGUUGUGAGGUUAAGCGACUAAGCGUACACGGUGGAUGCCCUGGCAGUCAGAGGCGAUGAAGGACGUGCUAAUCUGCGAUAAGCGCCGGUAAGGUGAUAUGAACCGUUAUAACCGGCGAUUUCCGAAUGGGGAAACCCAGUGUGACUCGUCACACUAUCAUUAACUGAAUCCAUAGGUUAAUGAGGCGAACCGGGGGAACUGAAACAUCUAAGUACCCCGAGGAAAAGAAAUCAACCGAGAUUCCCCCAGUAGCGGCGAGCGAACGGGGAGGAGCCCAGAGCCUGAAUCAGCAUGUGUGUUAGUGGAAGCGUCUGGAAAGGCGCGCGAUACAGGGUGACAGCCCCGUACACAAAAGCGCAUGUGCUGUGAGCUCGAUGAGUAGGGCGGGACACGUGGUAUCCUGUCUGAAUAUGGGGGGACCAUCCUCCAAGGCUAAAUACUCCUGACUGACCGAUAGUGAACCAGUACCGUGAGGGAAAGGCGAAAAGAACCCCGGCGAGGGGAGUGAAAAAGAACCUGAAACCGUGUACGUACAAGCAGUGGGAGCACCCUUUGGGGUGUGACUGCGUACCUUUUGUAUAAUGGGUCAGCGACUUAUAUUCUGUAGCAAGGUUAACCGUAUAGGGGAGCCGGAGGGAAACCGAGUCUUAACCGGGCGUUAAGUUGCAGGGUAUAGACCCGAAACCCGGUGAUCUAGCCAUGGGCAGGUUGAAGGUUGGGUAACACUAACUGGAGGACCGAACCGACUAAUGUUGAAAAAUUAGCGGAUGACCUGUGGCUGGGGGUGAAAGGCCAAUCAAACCGGGAGAUAGCUGGUUCUCCCCGAAAGCUAUUUAGGUAGCGCCUCGUGAAUUCAUCUCCGGGGGUAGAGCACUGUUUCGGCUAGGGGGCCAUCCCGGCUUACCAACCCGAUGCAAACUGCGAAUACCGGAGAAUGUUAUCACGGGAGACACACGGCGGGUGCUAACGUCCGUCGUGAAGAGGGAAACAACCCAGACCGCCAGCUAAGGUCCCAAAGUCAUGGUUAAGUGGGAAACGAUGUGGGAAGGCCCAGACAGCCAGGAUGUUGGCUUAGAAGCAGCCAUCAUUUAAAGAAAGCGUAAUAGCUCACUGGUCGAGUCGGCCUGCGCGGAAGAUGUAACGGGGCUAAACCAUGCACCGAAGCUGCGGCAGCGACACUCAGGUGUUGUUGGGUAGGGGAGCGUUCUGUAAGCCUG